ensembl:lncRNA
AAUUAGAAAGACCGUACUGCACUCAAUAUGCCAGCAAAUUUGGAAAACUCAGCAGUGGCCACAGGACUGGAAAAGGCCAGGCUUCAGCAAUACGUGAACCACGAACUUCCUGAUGUUCAAGCUGGUUUUAGAAAAGGCAGAGGAACCAGAGAUCAAAUUGCCAACAUCCGCUGGAUCAUGGAAAAAGCAAGAGAGUUCCAGAAAAACAUCUAUUUCUGCUUUAUUGACUAUGCCAAAGCCUUUGACUGUGUGGAUCACAAUGAACUGUGGAAAAUUCUGAAAG